rnacentral:lncRNA from 1 species
UUUAGGUGGAGGGUUAAGUUGUCAAUUUGGGAUCUUUCUUCUUUUUUGAGAAAGGCCUGUAUUGCUAUAAAUUUCCCUCUGAGCACUGCUUUCGCAGCAUCCCAUAGAUUUUGAGAGGUUGUGUCUUCAUUAUCAUUUGUUUCAAGGUAGUUUUUAAUUUCCUUCUUGAUUUCCUCAUUGACCCAUUGGUUUUUUAGUAGCAUGCUGUUUAGUCUCCAUGUAGUAGGUUUUUUCUCAUUUCUUUUCCCAUGGUUGAUUUCUAAUUUCAUGGUGUUGUGGUCAGAGAAGAUACUUGAGAUAAUUUCUAUGCUCCUAAAUUUGUUGAGGUUAGCUUUGUGUCCCAAUAUGUGAUUGAUUCUUGAGAAUGUUCCAUGUGCACUUGAGAAGAAUGUGUAUUCUGACUUUUUUGGAUGUAGUGUCCUGAAGAUAUCAAUUAAGUCUAACUUUUCCUUCCUUUACUUUAGGAUCUCUGUUGCUUUAUUGGUUUUCUGUCUAGAGGAUCUGUCCAUUGGUGUGAGGGGGGUAUUAAAGUCUCCUACUAUGAUUGUAUUCCCAUCAAUUUCUCCCUUAAUGUCUGUUAGUAUUUGUUGUAUGUAUCUGGUGCGCCUGCAUUUGAGGCAUAUAUGUUGAUGAUAGUAAUAUCCUCUCCUUGGAUGGAUCCCUUAAUCAUUAAAUAGUGUCCUUCUUUGUCUUUAUGUCUUUGGUUUUAAAGUCUAUUUUGUACAGACUUUAUUCUUAAUUGCAGAGAUGUAUUUACAAAACACUCAGCUAUUAUUUCACUUAAUACUUCUAAUUUUGUGGAAAAUUUCAAUUCAGUGAGAUAAUUCAACAUCAAAGCUGAGAAUCAACACAAUUCUUUCAAAUCUAAGUUGAGAAUAAUGAGGCAAAGAAAUUAAGAAAGCAAAAUUUGGCUUGUCAUGAAUGACUCAUAAAAGAGAAAGCUAAGUCGUGAAUAAUCCAAACAUUUUAAAAAUUAGAUAACUGAAAGAAUAGCAUGAAAGAACUAUAAGGACAUUGAGCAUGGGGAAACUGGUAUAGGGGCAGAAAAUCACUAACUUCUCAUCUAUGCUUGGCCAUCAUGCAGCAAAAAUAAGUAAACAAGCAAGUAAGCAAAUAAACAAGCCCAAUUAUCCUCCUCAAACCAACAUGUCAAGGGAAGAUUCUACCAGAGAGGGAAUGAAGAACUAAGAUAUGCCCAAGUUAGAUGAACUGACUCAACAUUCCACAACCAGUGAGAUAUCCAAAGUGCCAGCCUCAGAGACCUCCCGAGAUAAUUACAAAAAUCAGGCAUCAAGACAUUAAAGGUGAAGCGAAAUGUUCUAUGGGCAGGAAACAGAACUGGAGUCAUGAUUAUAAGGCAGGAUUUGAGUUUUUCUGUUAUGGACCUAAAGCUGAACAGGACAAACUGCCUUCAAGGAUCUUACAGCCUACUUCCUAAGUAUCUUUGGAUUCCAUCCCCACUGCCAAUAUCCUAAUAUAGGCAACCAUUACUUUCUGUUUGGAUUUACCCAAGAGGCUUUUUUACGGUCUCUAACCUUUAAAAUGGUUUUCCUUCCUUCUAAUUUAUUCCUUAUACAACAUGCUCUAGAGAAAGAUACAAACGUUAUUAUAAUAGUAUGGGUAAGUGCUAGAGACGGGAACCAAAGGAUGCUAUGGAAGCACUGAGGAGGCACUGAAGGCUAAUUCUGGAGGGUCAGCGAACGUUUUGUGGAGGAAGUAACAAGCUAUCAUUUGAAGGAAUUUUCCAGGCAAAGUAAGAGAAAAGAAGGAUUUGGGGCAGAAGGAACACUAUGAGCAAGAGCCAAAAGGCACAGUAUGAGAGUAAAUUUGGUGAACUGACAUUAGCUCAGCAAGGCAAGAGCUUCAAGUUCAAAGAAGAAUAAGAGUUUUUAAAAUGAAGCUUAAGAUCUCAGAAAGAACAGCAUAGGCAAUGACUUGAAAGUAAAGUUUAAGGGCUGAAAAUUUUCCCAAGGCUGAUUAGGGAGGCAAUGAAGAAAAUCAGGUUAGUGGCAUGAACAGAUUUUUCACUCAGAGUGACAGCAAAUGCCAAAUAAAUCAAUGAGUCUCCUAAGAAGAGCAUAUAUACAGAAUAAGCAAGAAGUUGAUGGACUCCUGGGAAAUAAAAAUAAUAAACUCUACUUAGACCAAGUUUCACUAAUAUCACAACAAAAACAUCCAUAAUACAUACAUAUCUUGUGUAUCUAUUCAGCCUUAGUUCAAAAAAUAAGAGCUCUGACAGCAAAGUUAUCAAAAUCUAUCUGGUUUCUGAGUUUGGGUAUCAAGAGUUCUGGUAGCAAGAGGUAAUUGUCCCUCAAGUUCUUUUUUUUCUUUUUACCACUGCACUUGCAGCACAUGGAAGUUCCUGGGCCAGAGGAUGAACUGGAGCUGUGGCUGAGGCCUACAUCACAGCCACAGCAACAGUGGUUCUGAGCGGCAUCUGCCUAUGCCACAGCUUGCAUCAACACCGACAGGAUUUGAGUUUUCCUUAACCCACUGAACAAGGCCUGGGAUUAAACCCACAUCCUCAGAGAAACAAUGUUGGGUGCUUAACCCAGUAAGCCACACAACAGGAACUCCGCAAACUCAUAUUUUUAAAAAAACUUUCUAUUUGGAAAUAAUUUUAGACUUGGAGAAAAGCUGUAAAAUAUCAGAGAGUAUCUGUAUAUACUUUCAUUCAAUUUCCCCCCUAAUAAUAUGUUAUAUAAUUAGAAUACAAGUAUUGAAAUCAGAAUAAUAACACUGACAGAAAACUAUUAAUUUACUCGACAGACCUUAUUCAAAUUCCUGAAACAAACAGUUUCCCACUAAUGUCCUCUUUCCUGGUCGAGGAUACAAUUUAGGAUUUCAUAUUGCAUUGUCAUGUUUGCAUACUCUCCUCUAAUCUGUGACAGUUCCUCAUUUUUUGUCUCUCAUGGCCUUUAUCCUUUUGAAGAGUACUGAUCAGUUAUUUUGUACAAUGACCAUCAAUUUAGAUUUACCUUAUGUUUCUCAUCGUUAGAUUACAUGUAUUGAACUUAAUGCAUUUUUGGCAUGAACACCACAGAAGGGAAACUGUGCCCUUCACAGUGCAUCAUAAUCAGGGUAUAAAUGAUGUUGAUACAUCUUAUAAUUAGUGAUUUUUUACUUCAAUUACUUGGUGAAGGUGGUGUCUGCCAUGUUUUUUCUAUAUAGUUACUGUUGUAUAAACAUACUAGAGUAGCCAGAGAAAGAACUGGCUGGAACUACUCUAGUUCUAUAAAUAGACUUGCCAGACAGGUCCACUCCUACCAGACAUUAAUACAUGCACUAUAAAACUUCUACAAUUAAAAUUGUGCUACUGCCACAUGAAUAAUCAGAGCAGUGGAAUAGAAAUCUCAGUCAACUAUUUCUUCAAGGAUCCUUGGUUCCUUUUUCUGGAGAACGGUAUUUAGAGAACAUCUGGGCACUAAUGUCUUCACUGUGACUAAGGUCUCACUGCUCUCUGUCCCUCUCAGGAUAGAAUACAUGUGUGUAUGCAUGGUAAUGUACACAUUCAAACACCUAUGUUUCUGAAGUCUGCAUCUGCAUGUAUAUUAAAAAUCAUGGAUUUAUAUGCAUAGGAAAUAGUUCAUUCUAGUUUAUUCAUUUAUCUGUAACUUCCUUAUCCAACUGAGAAGAAUUAAACUCAUUGUCUACAAUAUAUUCACUAUUUGCUCAAA